CCCCGCCCCGCACUCCCCUCCAGCCGCCAGCCGCAGCCCCAAGUUAAGCUGAGGCUCUGUGGCCCCUGUGUGUAUGAGCCGAGCCUGGGGGCAUCGGGGAGCCCAGGGCAGGGAGAGGCCUGGCCCCCCCUGACCAGCCACAGUCACCCCUAAGUCUAGCCAGCUUCUAGGCACCAGGACCAGUCCCCACAAACUGCCCCGCUCCUGAGAGCAUCGGUCCCGCCAGUGUCCACCCAGCUCCCCCGCAGCUUCGGCCCUGGGCCGGUUCCCACCCACACACCCUGUUUGAAUUCUCCCACCCGUGGGUGGGGAGGGGGGAUCCAGCCCUUUUCAGAGAAGGUAACUGAAGAACCCCAGCCUGCCCGUGGGCCCUGCCUCAACAGGUGCCUGGGAGCCCAGAGCCCGCGUUGCGCCCAGAUGGAACCCGGGGCCUGGAGACCAGACCGUGGGGGGCUGGGGUCCUCACUCCCAUCUGACAGGCGGGAGCCCGAGGCCUGGGCACGAAUGGCCACCCAGGGUUGCAGCGCCCAGAGCCGGUCCUGGGGAGGGGCCCUGGGCCCGGCUGGCCUGCAGCAGGGCUGGACUGAGGAGGGGACGGCCAUCGCUCUGUCCCCGAGUGACCCCACCCUCUGGGUCCUGGCCACUGUCCCGCAGGCUGCCUCUCUCCCCGAGCCACCGCCAAGGUUGCUAGGCCUGGCCGAGUCACAUUAGGUGGCACCCAGUGAGGCUCAAUCAGGUCAGGCCACUUAGACGGAUGGCCAUGGCAGGAAGGGGCCCCGGGGCCACCCACCCUGGAUGGGGCCAGACGCGGGGCAGCAGCACAGCAGGGAAGGGCAAGGAGGGGGUGCUGGGGAGGCCAGGUGGACGGGGGUCCUUGGGCAGGGAGGCGGUGGCCCAGCAGGUGGCCCUGGACCUGGGAGCUCGGGCCCCCACCUGGGCCAUCGAGGUGGGACAUGGAGCACAGGCUAGGUGGGCGCGGAGGAGGCAAGGCCUCCAGGCUCCUGCAAACCCAGCCAGGCCAGGCGGGGUCGGGGGUGACAGGAGGUUGGAAAAGCUGGGAGGGGGCCCACAGGGCUGGGGCCAGGAUGUAGGGAGUUAAGUCUGGAAGUUUGCCGGAGUCGGACUCGCCCAGAAGCACCAUCGGUUGUGGCUCAUUCUCUCUCCUUCCUCCUGCAGGGCGUCCUGACAGCUUUUGGUGGCUCCCCUGCGCCCACGACGGCGGAGUCUCCUCCCCACGGUGCACAGAUGGCCCCGGGGCCCUGGCUGGCCUUCCUUGACCGCCGUGCUCCCUUCUUGUGUCAUCUCCCCCUCAGCCGGGCCCAGAGCCGUCCGGCCCCCUCCUCUCCUUGCUGGGUACCUCCUUCCGUGGCAGCGCUGCUGGCUUCUCUGCCGACGGCCUCGAGAGCUGGGAGUGGGCGAACCCAGGGCCAAGGAGGCUGGGCUUUGUUCCCUGUCCCCCCCUUCCACCCUCCCUGCCGGGUCGCUGGAGAGGGGACUGCGACAGCUUCUCACCUAGAGUGGACUGGCCUGGGCCCCGGGCGGGCUGGGAUGCUCUAACCAAGCCUUGUCCCCAGCCCCGGAGAGACCGGGCAGCGGUCAUUUUCAGGGCUGGACAGCCCCUGGCCUGAAGCCUCCAGGAGAGCUCAGGUCAGCCAGCUCAGGGCUGCCGGGAGAUCCGGAGACCCCGUGACGAGCUGACUUGUGUCCCCCAGUGGGUGUGUUAAAAUCCUAAUCGGCACGUCGAGCUGUGCCUGCUUAGAGGGAGGGCUUUGACAGGGGUGGGCAAGGUCAAACGAGGUCAUGAGUGUGGGCGUUUAUCCAGGCGCCGGUGUCCUCAGAAGGGGCGAUCAGGACACGCAGCCCUGAAAGAAGGGAGACCCUGACACAGGCUGCAACAUGGAAGGACCUCGACGUCACAUUCUGGGACAGAAACCAGCCACCAAAAAUGUCACAUACUAAUCCAGGGAGUUCCUGUCGUGGCUCAGCGGUAACGAACCUGACCGGGAUCCAUGAGGAUGCAGAUGCAGGAGUGGUGGCGCCCGUGGUACCCGUGUUUAACUCACGGCCGGGACUGCUGCCAGCACCGCUGACUCACAAUGACCGUGGCGCAAGUGCGAGCGGGAGCCUGAGCGCAGCUGGGCAGGCCUGCUCCUCCCUCGGCCUCGGCGCUGCCCCAGUGCCGACUCUGCCCUGGCGACUCCCCUGUUUGGAGACAGCGGCAUCAGGGAGGCUGUUUCUGGGGGUUCCCAGGCCAGGGGUCGAAUCAGAGCUGUAGCCACUGGCCUACACCACAGCCACAGCAACUCGGGAUCUGCUCACGGCAACACUAAGCGAGGCCAGGGAACGAACCCGCACCCUCACUGAUACCAAUCGGAUUCGCUUCUGCUGUGCCACGGCGGGAACUCCUUGUUCGCCCCCCUUUCUCCCAGGAGGGCCGGCGGGCCACACCCCUCUCCAUCCUGCCUGGCUGCCCACUGGCACCGCCCGCUCAGCCCCUCUGGCCGUCAGUGUCUCGAGGCUGCCACCCAGUGGCCAUGUGGGGAGUGGCCAGCUUUCCCCUCGGUACCCGGCCUUCUGGGUGGACCCACCCGCCCCAGCUGCUUCUCCCACCCCUUUCCUCCCUCACCUGCUCACUCAUCCAUUCCUCUGUUCAUUCAUUCAUUCGGCCAAGCACAGUGAGCUCUGCUGAGCCAGGCCUGGGCGGGCCUCAGAACUGGAGGGACACCCGCAGAGAAAUCACUCUGUGUCCCCCCCCAUGGAACACAGACGUGAGCACGGGAUUUAAAAUAGAGGGCAGGCGGCAGAUGGGGUGGGAAGGGGGCUCCUUCUGUCCCAGCCUCCCUGAUUCUCCCAGCCGCCCUGGCCGGGGCCUCGUUCUGGGCCAGGAAACCUGACUUCUGGGGGUGGGGGGUGCUCCGGGGGAGGGCAUGAGGCCCCAGUCACCGGCCGCUCUCCCUGGGGGGCCGCCCCCCCCCAGCCCCUGCAUUCUUCCCUCAGCUCCAAAGAGUGUCCAUUUGUUUGGUGCGGUUUUGUUAGCAGCUUUGUUGAGACGUAAUUCACACGCCAUGUAAUUCACUCCUUUCAAGGGUGCCGUUCGGUGGCUUCUGGUCCAUUCGCGGUCAUGCAACCAUCAUACAGUUAUUUUUCACCCAUUUCAUCACUUCAAACGGAAACCUGCCAUCUAACCACCAGCCCCCCGCCCCGAGCCAGCGCUAACGGGCUUUCUGUCUGUGAGCUGGCCUGUUCCAGGAACCCUCGGGCAGCGGAGUUACACGCGGCUUGCCCUCUGCCUCAAGCCUCAAGGUGCCUCGGGGUUGUGGCAGGUGUGAGGGCGCGAUCCCUUUAAAGGCCCGGUCGCGGCCAUCGCCCGGCUGGACCUCAUCCUGCCCAGGCCUUGAGCCGCAGACAGGCCUGUGGGUUGCUUCCACCUUCCGGCACCUGAGUAAAGCUGUUGAGAACAUGCGCGUCCAGCCUUUCCUGGGGACACGUGUUUGCGUUUCUCUCGGGAAUAAACCUAGGCGAGCAAUUUC
rnacentral:lncRNA from 1 species